UAUUGAUGACACGUAGAAUUUUCUCGCGAUUGAAUGUAAAAUUUGUGACGUUUUUUUAAAAUGUUCCGUGUAUGACUAUGUGUAUAUGUGUGCUUGUGCUGUGAGCUGAUUGCUGCAUAUGGACUGAUAUUUAACCGAUACAACGUGAAAUAUCAGCGAUCCAUCUCGGUGCGCGCGCAUAAUUAGACUGAGUUAUCGGCGCCAGAUUCGGGGACAAUGGCUGUAUAAAUAUUCUCGUCGGGAGCGGUCCACGUACGUGGGCAGAUGCGUCUUGCGGAUACAGGGUGGUCCUGACUAAAUGCAACGUGGAUCAGAACAAGGCCGACUCGUAACGAGCGCGUCGCGAAGCGCCUGUUACGGCCACGCUUGAUGCACGACGAUCUGUCGCGUUUUUGACGCGAGUCGUUACUUGCCACUUCACAGGCCAUCGCCGAAUUCCCUUGCGUUUCGUGUACGCGUUGCGAUUCCACGAUCUUUCGUCGAUCCUUGUCAUCUAGCAAUUCUUUUAACCAGCGAAAUAAUAGUGUCUCACGUGUCUUCAAUAAAUCCAAGAUAUUAACGGAUCAAAGACCUGUGAUAUUCUUGUAAGUAGUCCCGCAAAGUAUUACUCUGUUUAUUAGGGUGCUGAGAAGAACUUAAAUACUUGAAAUAGGUUGAAAAUGAUCUGCUGAGAAAACAAUCGUUUACUAACACCUUUGAUGAACACCUUUUGGAUUCUGACCAGUGAAUGCGCAGUACGAAUUCAGAAGACUAAAUCCAGAAGAUGGCAAGAAAAGAGAAAAAUCAGGUCCAAGAGUCAGAAUAACUGUUCAAGAAACGUGAUUCUGCUUCAAAACAAGAGCUUCAUUUCGACAAAAAGAUACGCUGCAACAACAGCGACUACGCUUGAAAACAAGAGUUUCCUUCGAGCAAAGAAUACAUAACCUUAUUAGGAAAUGGACGAAAUGCGCUUCGGAACUUCAGCGAGAUUAUACAAGAAACUGACCCACAUUUCAAUCGCGAAAUUAACAAACGCAAAGAUACAUAGAAUAUGUUAAAAUAUGAAAAAUAUUCAUAGCAGCAGUAUGAAUCUUUGUUUAGGUGCCAUUUCUUUGAAAUUGUGUUUAUAUCUAUAAAGAUACUCAUUCUCUGAUACUCAUUCCAUCUUACGAUACUUUCUAUGAAACAAGGAACAGAAGAUCGAAAUUCGAAUGACAGGCCGAGUUUCCGAGGACGUACAUUCGAUUAACCGUAAAAAUCACGACCAAUGAUGGCGAGUGUCAACGUAAGGGAGAUAAUGCCCAGAUACGUAUCGAGCAAGCGCUGCACGUAAUGACGAGCACGAAUGCACGUAACAUGGAUGCGCGCGAUACAACUCGGCCCGGAUAUCGUAGUGGGCGCACAUGUGCAUCGGUGAUGUUUCGAGCUAGAACGAUUUCGGAGCGUCGAAUUACGCGGCACCGGGUGCACGUGCAGUAGGCGCCUAUUGCACAAAUCACACGCAUUAUUGACUACCUUUGUAUUUCUCCGGCCGACGCGCCAUUGUCCGUGUCACGUGCGUUUCCUUCUCUAAGUACCUACUAGCACAAAUAAGCCGAGAAAAUUUGCUUUAUGUACUUAGAAUCAUCUGCAAUUUCAAUUAACGUUUUAGAUAGUUCUCUUCGAUGGAAUAUAAAUCCACUUACAUAUUGGACCGUCUAAACGAAAAUUAGUACAAUGAUAGUAAUUAGAAUCUCACGAAAGUAUUCGAGAUCUGUGUGUAAAAUUAAUGAACACAGACUAUUGAAAUUAUUUCAGAAUACAAUUGAAGGUAUUACAUUUUAAUCCAUUUAAUAAAAAUCCACAGGGAGCUACGUUUGUGUAGUUUUCAAUAAUUCACGAAAUAGUAAUCUCUAAUUACAUAAUUUUCAAAAUAAAGUACACAGCGGAAGUGUUGCAAUUUUCAAAGAAUUGGCGACCUUGCAAAGUGGCUCUCAAUGGAGUUGAACAUAUAUAGCAGAAGAUUCAGGGUGGUCAGUGAAAGUGGUCCAUGUCCCCAGUGGCCUCGAAAUCUCAACUAGAAACCUCGGUACCCAAGACUGGCGCCAGACUUGUCUGCAUCUGUUUGGGAGAUGAAGUAUCUGGCUGGCUUUUCCUGCCUCCAAAUCCGUUGAGAAGUGUUCGACCUGCAAACCGGCUUCCGUUCGACCCUCCAAAGACGAACACUCGAAGGGUACUCGAUCCAUCGACAAACCUAUCGUCCGACUUGCAAGUCACACAGAGAGACAGACAGCCGGUCGUGUUUUCUUUCGAACGAGAUCCUCGGGAGAGGGAAGUUUAUUUACGCGUAUCAAGCCUCCUGCCGUCUUUACGAUCGUCCACGAUAUGCUUCGUGUUAACCGGAUCUCUGUUAAUGGUUCAACGUGUUUUCACAGAGCAAACGGAAGCCUGCUGCCGUUCUUUACCAUUUGACAUUUAGAAACUGGGAAUUAUUAGCGAUGUGCUAUCAUUGCAAACGAUCGACUGUGAAUAAAGUUGUAUCUUGAAGUCGUCUUAGGCUGAAGCUUUAAGUAUUUCAUUUUGUUUUUAGUUUAUUUGAUUAUCAAUGUGCGUUGGGAAAAUAUACGUACAAUACUAAAAUUUUCAGAAAUCAUUGAUCAAAUUGAAAUUAUUUCUUUGAAGUAAUUUCAAGAAGUAAUUUCAAGAAGUUUUGGCGGUUAUUUUCAUUCAUCUAAGCUUCUGUAUAUUAGGUUGCCCGAAAGUUUCUUUCGGUUUAUGAGGAAAUAAUAGACGCACAACGUUUUUUGUUUUGUAUUAUUUUGUCGAAUUACGUACGAUCCAUUUUGUUCUGUUGAGAUAAACACCGCGACAUUUCACAGACUUGGUUUCACGUUUAUAUGAAAGUGCAUUGUUGUAAAAAGACACAUUUGCGAAGAGAAGGCACUUUCCGGACUGCCUAAUAUGUACACCUAAUACGCGUGAAUUCAAUUCCUUUGAUCGAAGUAUGAAGGAAAAAUAAAAUUAUAGUUUGGAUGCUGUGGCCACUAUUGGAUUGCUAAUUAAUUAUGAAUUAAAUAUUUAUUUUCCUUGGUAUGUAGCUAUAACUCCACUUGCCACACAGGACUUUAUCGAAGAAAUAUGUAUGUAUAUAGAAAUUACAAGCUAGUAUAAAUCGAAGUCAAGAGCUGCCCUAACCUGUCUCAAACGAGACAGGGGCUUCCACGUCGACUUAAGAAAACUACCAGCCCUUCAUGGAUGUUUCGAGUGGCUCGACUCGAUCUGUCAUGUUUACACGAGAUCGUGUAUACCCGAUACAACCCCUCACUAAACUAGAUGAUGUUUGUUUAAAGUCCCCCAGCUCUUCUGCUAGAAUAGACGUCGAUUCAUCGCAUCUAAAGGUCCUCGUAAGCCUAAGUAAAUGAAAUUACUAGUUUGGAAGUACUAGCCAUUCCGGGUUUUCGACGAUAUCAGAUAUCUUAAUUUCUCAUUUGCAUCUUUUGAUUUCAUUUUAUUACAUUGCAAAAAGGUUCGUAGAUUAGCUUUGGAUCGGUAAAAGAAGAUAUAAACUUAAGAAAAUACUGAUCGUCACAUUUACAAACCACGGUACAAAAACCUUCACUCAAGAUUAAAGACCUUGAAUUGAAAAGAAUGUUUUUUAUUCAGUUUCAGACUGGAUACUUGUGAAUCACUCUAUAUAAUCGAAAUACAGUGAGCUAUUAUGAGAAUGAACGAUAUUACAGUGAACUGUUUUUAUCGAUAAAAUCAGGAUCCUGAACAAAAACAGAUUCUCCAAGGAUAGCUAUCUAUUUCUUCUCAUGCAGGAUAUAUAUGUCUUUUUUUACUAAAGAAGAUGUGUCUCAACAACUGAAUGACAUUUAAAACUCAUUAGUUUGAAAUAAUGAAGUUAGAAGGUCAUUACGAUUAUCUUUGAACGCUUGACCGCAGAAGACUACUGGUUUUAUGCAAAAUAACAAAACAAGAUUGAAACGUUACUCUUUUCCCAAUUGCAUGUGUCGAGUGAAAGAGUUUCUUUAAUAUUACAGUACAGUUAUUCGUAUUUCAAAGAAUCCGCUUUCCAGUAACACUUCGUUGUUUACGAAUAAAUAUACUUUGAACGAUACAAAGUUAAAUUUGCUAAAAUAUUUCACAAUGACUUUUCUGUUUAUUUUUUAUUAUAAAACUCUUACACGAACAUUUAGAUAUUUUUGUUUGAAAAAGGCACAAUUGAUUUACACUGAAAUUCAGUGUGUAAUGGAGUGUGGUAAAUGUAAGAAAAGAAGAGUUUUGCACCAGUUAUGGAUUAUUGUCCGUCGGUGCAUGCAAAUUGAGGUGAAACGCGAUGCCCGCGAACCGCAACGGGGAUAACCCACGGGGAAAUUAUUGAUAAUCUCAUCAAUAUUCGCGUUAUUGUCAGGCACAGGGCACCAAUAAUUAACGCGCAAUUGGACGCGAGUAUCGAUACAACGCGAGCGAUCUGCAACACAUGUCGCUCUAUUAAUAACACCGUGCCCGGUGCUAUCGAUACCUCACUAAUUCAUCGAAAAGCAGAUUUACAGGUCCGCCGCAGUUGCAUCGAGUAACAUGGACGGGCAAAGGGAUUAAAUAAUGGGACGAAACUGAUCAAUAAAGGAGCGCCAUUUAAGAUAGAAAGAACUGUGAGAAGAUCAUUUAUGGUCGUUGAAAAACUGUUCCGAGGAACAAAUCCUGCAAAUUUAUCGAAACACUGUCCAAACUAUACAUUCAACGGCUACGAAGAAAUUAUUAUACGCAUUAUAUGUUAUGUGAAACGUAUCGCAUUACAGAAAUAUAAAAAUUUUCAUAAUAUACGGAACCUGUUUAUCGAAGAACGUAUAUCCAACGAUGAAUGUAAUCCAGUUACUGAAACUUGAUCAAUUCAUAAAUAGUAAAAACUAUAAGAAAUAUAAUAUAAUGAAAUUUUAAACGCAUGAAGAGGAAGUUAUU